CGGAACGGGUGAGUAACGCGUGAGGAACCUGCCUCAAAGAGGGGGACAACAGUUGGAAACGACUGCUAAUACCGCGUAAGCCCACAGCUCGGCAUCGAGCAGAGGGAAAAGGAGCAAUCCGCUUUGAGAUGGCCUCGCGUCCGAUUAGCUAGUUGGUGAGGUAACGGCCCACCAAGGCGACGAUCGGUAGCCGGACUGAGAGGUUGAACGGCCACAUUGGGACUGAGACACGGCCCAG
rnacentral:rRNA from 1 species